rnacentral:rRNA from 1 species
GGCGGCGUGCUUAACACAUGCAAGUCGAACGAUGAACCACUUCGGUGGGGAUUAGUGGCGAACGGGUGAGUAACACGUGGGCAAUCUGCCCUUCACUCUGGGACAAGCCCUGGAAACGGGGUCUAAUACCGGAUACAACCACUGACCGCAUGCGGCGGGUGGUGGAAAGCUCCGGCGGUGAAGGAUGAGCCCGCGGCCUAUCAGCUUGUUGGUGAGGUAAUGGCUCACCAAGGCGACGACGGGUAGCCGGCCUGAGAGGGCGACCGGCCACACUGGGACUGAGACACGGCCCAGACUCCUACGGGAGGCAGCAGUGGGGAAUAUUGCACAAUGGGCGAAAGCCUGAUGCAGCGACGCCGCGUGAGGGAUGACGGCCUUCGGGUUGUAAACCUCUUUCAGCAGGGAAGAAGCGAAAGUGACGGUACCUGCAGAAGAAGCGCCGGCUAACUACGUGCCAGCAGCCGCGGUAAUACGUAGGGCGCAAGCGUUGUCCGGAAUUAUUGGGCGUAAAGAGCUCGUAGGCGGCUUGUCGCGUCGGUUGUGAAAGCCCGGGGCUUAACCCCGGGUCUGCAGUCGAUACGGGCAGGCUAGAGUUCGGUAGGGGAGAUCGGAAUUCCUGGUGUAGCGGUGAAAUGCGCAGAUAUCAGGAGGAACACCGGUGGCGAAGGCGGAUCUCUGGGCCGAUACUGACGCUGAGGAGCGAAAGCGUGGGGAGCGAACAGGAUUAGAUACCCUGGUAGUCCACGCCGUAAACGGUGGGCACUAGGUGUGGGCGACAUUCCACGUCGUCCGUGCCGCAGCUAACGCAUUAAGUGCCCCGCCUGGGGAGUACGGCCGC